UCAAAGCUUGCUUGUGUUAAAGAUUCAGGACGUCACCAAAUGAGAAAAAGAAUUGCCAAUUCAGGAAGGAAUUGAACCACAAGUAAUGGAAAUAUGGAAUCAAGGAAGAAAUCAAGAUCUCCACUUAACCAGUAAACCACCUCAACUUCUAGCAAUAAUUAAGCUGAGCAAAACCUUCCAAAAAGAAUCGAACCACAAGAAAUAGACCCAAAGAAAAAGCCCAACAUUCAUGAGUCGACCCCAUCAAUUAAAGAACACAGUGCUGAUGCUGAUGCUGAUGCUUCCUGCUCCAUCUCUCUCUCUUUAAUGCUGAUGCUUCCUGCUCUCACUGCAUGCAACUUCCUCUGUUUUUCAUCUGCUUUUUGAAUGGUGAGUGCGAGUUUGCUUCCCAAUUGUAUGCCUGUGAUGUGAGCCUAAUAUUCAUAUUUGAAGCCCAAUACUACAGCUAGCUCUUAUAAAUAAACCCUUGUCCCUGUAUCAACAACAUCACCGUCACAGUCAAUGGCAUGUGCAGGGGGGAAUUAUAUAUCAAAAAAAGGAGAGAAGUAGCUAUUGGGGAUUAGUGGGAGAUUGUUUAAAUUCCACCGGUGGCAGGGCCUAAUGCAUGUCUUACUUGGAAAAAGAAAAUAAGAUGAGAUCAUGAGAUAUAUUGACACUUCACCAGGGGUAAGGAGAUGAGGAUUACAUUCAUGCUUUCGUGCAAUGAUCAAUUUUUUUGGGUGAAUACUCCAUGUCAGUACUGUGCAAUUGAAGGGCUGUCAAGGGAUUGGCUUUUAUGGUGUGUUUUAGGAAGAACUAUGAUUAAAAUUGAGUUGUUGUCAAAGGACCAAGAAAAGGCAGCUACAGAUUGUGUUUGGGAUGAAGGACAUUUGUUUGUACAAGUUCCUUCUCUGGGGCUGAUGGGCUCAAUAAUGAUUUGUAUUGGCAUAUGAUCAUGUUGGGUGAAGGAUACUUAUGGAAUGAUACUCUGGUUUCACAACUCUUCUCACUGCUUCUUUGUGUUGGAAAAACAGAAUGAAGGCUGCGCCGUGGCCUUGAAAGCAAAAAUUCCGGCUGACCUCCGAUAUAAUCCAGUGCCGGGUUUGCUCCCCAAGAUUAACACAACCGCACGUCAGGUACUGUGCACUCAGAACCUAAACGUGCUGGAGUUUUUACAACAAUGCUCAAAACCACUAAAAAAGAGGAAGAAAUAUUUUUUGUGUGUUCCUCAAAUAGAUUAGGAACUCUUCUUAUAUAGAAAUCAAGAAUUAUCUUU